GCCGACGUAGCUCAACGGUAGAGCAAUCGCUUCGUAAGCGAUAGGUUAUCGGUUCGAAUCCGAUCGUCGGCU
rnacentral:tRNA from 1 species